rnacentral:rRNA from 1 species
AUUGAACGCUGGCGGCAUGCCUUACACAUGCAAGUCGAACGGCAGCACGGGAGCAAUCCUGGUGGCGAGUGGCGAACGGGUGAGUAAUAUAUCGGAACGUGCCCAGUCGUGGGGAUAACGUAGCGAAAGUUACGCUAAUACCGCAUACGAUCUAAGGAUGAAAGCGGGGGAUCGCAAGACCUCGCGCGAUUGGAGCGGCCGAUAUCAGAUUAGGUAGUUGGUGAGGUAAAGGCUCACCAAGCCAACGAUCUGUAGCUGGUCUGAGAGGACGACCAGCCACACUGGGACUGAGACACGGCCCAGACUCCUACGGGAGGCAGCAGUGGGGAAUUUUGGACAAUGGGCGCAAGCCUGAUCCAGCAAUGCCGCGUGCAGGAUGAAGGCCUUC